UUAUAUAUUUGCGUAGCAUGGAGUGAAUGCCUUGGAAGAAAAAUAUAGGCGUGAACAACCACGAAAGUGUUGGGCGAGGAAAGCCUGUGACCCCAACCUACCUAAUAUGGGAAACUAGAGCUAUAAAGCCCGCUGUUACGGCAGCAUUAUAGGGAAGUGAAACAUCUCAGUACCUUGUAGACCAAAUCAACCGAGACGUCGUAAGUAGUGGUGAGCGAAAGCGAUAAAAGGCAAAACAAAAAAGGUAAAAGAAAGAAAAGAAGUGUUAAUUUUUAAUUGUUCUACCGUAGAAGGUGAUAGUCCUGUAUUUCUUUUUUUUUUUGAGAAAGUAAGACGAGGCAAGUUUACCUCGUCUGAGUAUUGGGGGACCACCCUCAAAGCCUAGAGUUAUUUUUCUUACCGAUAGUGAACAAGUACCGUGAGGGAAAGGUGAAAAAGAACUUGUGACAGUGCAAAGAUCCUGAAACUCCAUGUUUGAGUCGAAGCACAGGCAACGGCGUACUUUUUGUAUAACGGGCAAGUGAAUCUUAAUAAAGGGCAAGCUUAAGCUAGUAAAAGUGGAGGCGAAGAGAAAUCGAGUCUUUUGUGGCGACCAAAAGUCCUUUGUUAAGUACCCGAAACCGGCUGAUCUAAGCUUGAGCAGGCUGAUACUGUAGUGGUAACACUCUUUGGAGGGCCGAACCCGUGUAUGUGGCAAAAUACUGGGAUGACUUGAGUUUAGGGGUGAAAGGCCAAUCAAAGUCGGUGAUAGCUGGAUUUCUGCGAAAUCUAUCGAAGUAGAGCGUCCUGGUUAGAAGAUCUGGGGUAGAGCACUGUAUAAGCAAGGGGGAGGUAAUCUCUUACUGAACUUUGGCAAACUCCGAAUACGGGUCGAUCCAUCCAGGGCAGACAGAGUAUGUAUGCUAAGAUUCAUACUCAAGAGGGAAACAGCCCAGACUGUAGGCUAAGGUCCAUAAAAUAGUUUCAGUGGUAAAGGUGAUUUUUGCUCUGAGACCGUCAGAAGGUAGGCUUGGAAGCAGCCAUCCUUUUAAGAAAGCGUAAUAGCUCACUGACCUAGAGUAGAUGUCCCGCCAAUUUUGAGGGCUUAAAACUAUUACCGAAGCUUCAGACAAGGUUUAAAUACUUUGUGGUAGCAGAACCUUCUGUAGGUCGUAAAAGCUUUAUCGUAAGUUAAAGUGAAGAUAUCAGAAGUGAGAAUACUUGCAUGAGUAGCAUAAAACAAUGAUCCUAAAGCAUUGUGGCCGUAAGUCCAAGGUUUCUGACUUUAAGUACAACUGGGUUGGGUAAGACUUCCAUCUUUAUAAAAAACGGUCCCUAAGCUUGCAAGCCAAAGCUUGCGGUAAUGGGUAAGAUUAAACUAUGAAAAGUUGCUGACGAAAGAUUCACCUUAUUUUUAAAUUUGUUAAAAGUAAAUUAUUCUUUCCAAGAAAAAGGCACUUUAAUAACACCGUACCUUAAACCGCCACAGGUGGACGGGUGGAGAACACUAAGGCCUUGAGAUAACCCUGUUGAAGGAACUCGGCAAAAUGACCCUGUAACUUCGGAAUAAGGGGUAAAGAUAAAAGGCGCAAGCCUUUUUCUUUGGCACAAAAUCGGGGGUGGCGACUGUUUAUUAAAAACACAGGUCUCUGCUAACUCGCAAGAGGAUGUAUAGGGACUGACACCUGCCCGGUGCCGGUAGGUAAAGCUUUGAUGUUUACGCGUUGAAGUCAAACCCCGGUAAACGGCGGCUGUAACUAUGACGGUCCUAAGGUAGCGAAAUUCCUUGUCGGGUAAGUUCCGACCCGCAUGAAUGGUGUAACGACUUCCCCGCUGUCUCCAACAGGGACUCAGUGAAAUUACAUAGGUCGUGAAGAUGCGGCCACCCUACAGCUGGACGGAAAGACCCCGUGCACCUUUACUAUAAGCAAGCAUUGUAAUCCAAAAACUCAAGUGUAGAAUAGGUGGGAGCCUGUGACUCUUUCUCGCAAGGGAUUGCUGAGGCAACAGUGAAAUACCACCCUGAGAUUUGUUGGUUUACUAACUACGGGACAGUGUUUGCUGGGUAGUUUGACUGGGGCGGUCGCCUCCUAAAGAGUAACGGAGGUAUACAAAGGUAGGCUCAUCUCCCUAUAAGGGGAAUCGAGUAUAAUGGUAUAAGCCUGCCUGACUGUAAGAAAGACAUUUCGAUCAGAGACGUAAGUCGGUCAUAGUGAUCCGGUGGUUCUUGGUGGAAAGGCCAUCGCGCAAUGGAUAAAAGGUACGCCGGGGAUAACAGGCUAAUGAUCCUCUAGAGCCCCUAUCGACGGGUUCGUUUGGCACCUCGAUGUCGACUCAUCACAUCCUGGAGCUGGAAAAGGUUCCAAGGGUUCGGCUGUUCGCCGACGAAAGUGGUACGUGAGUUGGGUUUAGAACGUCGUGAGACAGUUUGGUCCCUAUCUUCUGUGGGUGUUUGAAAAUUCCGAGGACUAGACCUUAGUACGAGAGGACCGGGAAAACUUGAUCCCUUGUGUUCCGGUUGUUCCCAAAGGGGCAACGCCGGGUAGCUACAUCGAGAAGAGAUAAUCGACCACUUGGCGAGAAACUCACCUCAAGUAAAAUUUUCAUAGGGGGGUGAAAGAUUAUCACCUGGAUAGGCGGUAGGUGCAAGAAUUGUAAGAUUUUAAGCUGAUUCGUACUAAUCUCCUAAAAAAUUUCAAUAGCAUGUAUUUGC
rnacentral:rRNA from 1 species